UCGGAGCCUGAGGAUUCUGGAAGUCUCCA
rnacentral:piRNA from 1 species